rnacentral:rRNA from 1 species
GUCACGCUGUAAACGAUGUCGAUUUGGAGGUUGUUCCCUUGAGGAGUGGCUUCGGGAGCUAACGCGUUAAAUCGACCGCUGGGGAGUACGGCCGCAAGGUUAAAACUCAAAUGAAUUGACGGGGGCCCGCACAAGCGGUGGAGCAUGUGGUUUAAUUCGAUGCAACGCGAAGAACCUUACCUACUCUUGACAUCCAGAGAAUUUAGCAGAGAUGCUUUAGUGCCUUCGGGAACUCUGAGACAGGUGCUGCAUGGCUGUCGUCAGCUCGUGUUGUGAAAUGUUGGGUUAAGUCCCGCAACGAGCGCAACCCUUAUCCUUUGUUGCCAGCACGUUAUGGUGGGAACUCAAAGGAGACUGCCGGUGAUAAACCGGAGGAAGGUGGGGAUGACGUCAAGUCAUCAUGGCCCUUACGAGUAGGGCUACACACGUGCUACAAUGGCGUAUACAAAGAGAAGCGACCUCGCGAGAGCAAGCGGAACUCAUAAAGUACGUCGUAGUCCGGAUUGGAGUCUGCAACUCGACUCCAUGAGGUCGGAAUCGCUAGUAAUCGUAGAUCAGAAUGCUACGGUGAAUACGUUCCCGGGCCUUGUACACACCGCCCGUCACACCAUGGGAGUGGGUUGCAAAAGAAGUAGGUAGCUUAACCUUCGGGAGGGCGCUUACCACUUUGUGAUUCAUGACUGGGGUGAAGUCGUAACAAGGUAACCA